GAUGAACGCUGGCGGCGUGCCUAAUACAUGCAAGUCGAGCGAACGGACGAGAAGCUUGCUUCUCUGAUGUUAGUGGCGGACGGGUGAGUAACACGUGGAUAACCUACCUAUAAGACUGGGAUAACUUCGGGAAACCGGAGCUAAUACCGGAUAAUAUUUUGAACCGCAUGGUUCAAAAGUGAAAGACGGUCUUGCUGUCACUUAUAGAUGGAUCCGCGCUGCAUUAGCUAGUUGGUAAGGUAACGGCUUACCAAGGCAACGAUGCAUAGCCGACCUGAGAGGGUGAUCGGCCACACUGGAACUGAGACACGGUCCAGACUCCUACGGGAGGCAGCAGUAGGGAAUCUUCCGCAAUGGGCGAAAGCCUGACGGAGCAACGCCGCGUGAGUGAUGAAGGUCUUCGGAUCGUAAAACUCUGUUAUUAGGGAAGAACAUAUGCGUAAGUAACUGUGCACAUCUUGACGGUACCUAAUCAGAAAGCCACGGCUAACUACGUG
rnacentral:rRNA from 1 species